UUUUUGCAGAAUUUUGAAAGUGCCAACCCUGCCCUCCUUCCUGAAGACUUUCUGCUACUUCUGCCUGGAACUCAUUUCCUCUGGCCGUCUCCCACCUGACUCCUCAUCAUUUAGAGUCUUCUAUAUGGCAAGUUUGUGACAACGCUUCAUCUCUUCCUCUUUGCUCCAGCUUAACUGUCUCCACUUGUCAUAAGCAGUCCCCAUAUGACGCAGCUGUUAUUUUCUGGUUGAAUUUCUGUUUGUCAGUUUUCCAUGCAGUACUUAUGGCAUAGAAUGCCACGGAAUUCCCCAGGUGUUUUUACACUGGGGCAUGCUGGAAAAAGACGGUCAUCUCCUGAGUUUAUUUUACUCAUCAUCACAUUAACUUGUAUUUUUUCAAGUUGCAUCAUAUGAAGAUUCAUGUUGAGGCUCCUUAAUCUUAUCACAUAUGCUUCUGUUAAAUAAUAUUGCCUUCAUGUUGAACUUUUGCAGAUUAUUUUUUAGCUUAAUUCAAGAUUACAAUGAUUCUUACUACAUUUCAGGCAAAAAUAAUUUACCUAUAUCCUAUGCUAUCAAUUUUUUAAUGAUUUUUUUAAUGGGCACCAACUUGUAGCAGUAGGGAACAUUCUCAACUUUUUCCCUGGAAUUUGAGUAGUCUGAAAUGCUAA
rnacentral:lncRNA from 10 species